AUACUUACCUGGCAGGGGAGAUACCAUGAUCACGAAGGUGGUUUUCCCAGGGCGAGGCUUAUCCAUUGCACUCCGGAUGUGCUGACCCCUGCGAUUUCCAAAAAAAAACAAAAACCAAAAAAAAACAAAAAAAAAGAAUGUCUACUAGUGGGGCACCUGUGUGACUCAGU